rnacentral:rRNA from 1 species
CCUACGGGUGGCUGCAGUGGGGAAUAUUGGACAAUGGGGGGAACCCUGAUCCAGCCAUGCCGCGUGUGUGAAGAAGGCCCUCGGGUUGUAAAGCACUUUCAGUGAGGAAGAACGCCUGGUGGUUAAUACCCAUCAGGAAAGACAUCACUCACAGAAGAAGCACCGGCUAACUCCGUGCCAGCAGCCGCGGUAAUACGGAGGGUGCGAGCGUUAAUCUGAAUUACUGGGCGUAAAGCGCGCGUAGGUGGCUUGAUAAGCCGGUUGUGAAAGCCCCGGGCUCAACCUGGGAACGGCAUCCGGAACUGUCAAGCUAGAGUGCAGGAGAGGAAGGUAGAAUUCCCGGUGUAGCGGUGAAAUGCGUAGAGAUCGGGAGGAAUACCAGUGGCGAAGGCGGCCUUCUGGACUGACACUGACACUGAGGUGCGAAAGCGUGGGUAGCAAACAGGAUUAGAUACCCGUGUAGUC